UACGUAGGUGGCAAGCGUUGUCCGGAAUUAUUGGGCGUAAAGCGCGCGCAGGCGGUCCUUUAAGUCUGAUGUGAAAUCCCGUGGCUUAACCACGGGCGGUCAUUGGAAACUGGGGGACUUGAGUGCAGAAGAGAAGAGCGGAAUUCCACGUGUAGCGGUGAAAUGCGUAGAGAUCGGGAAGAACAUCAGUGGCGAAGGCGGCCUGCUGGGCUGUUGCUGACGCUGAGGCGCGACAGCGUGGGGAGCAAACAGG
rnacentral:rRNA from 1 species